GCUUACACAUGCAGUCGAACGAACUCUUCGGAGUUAGUGGCAGACGGGUGAGUAACGCGUGGGAAUAUACCUUUCGGUACGGAACAACAGUUGGAAACGACUGCUAAUACCGUAUGCGCCCUAUGGGGGAAAGAUUUAUCGCCGAAGGAUUAGCCCGCGUUGGAUUAGCUAGUUGGUGGGGUAAAGGCCUACCAAGGCGACGAUCCAUAGCUGGUCUGAGAGGAUGAUCAGCCACACUGGGACUGAGACACGGCCCAGACUCCUACGGGAGGCAGCAGUGGGGAAUAUUGGACAAUGGGGGCAACCCUGAUCCAGCCAUGCCGCGUGAGUGAUGAAGGCCCUAGGGUUGUAAAGCUCUUUCAGCGAGGAGGAUAAUGACGUUACUCGCAGAAGAAGCCCCGGCUAACUUCGUGCCAGCAGCCGCGGUAAUACGAAGGGGGCUAGCGUUGUUCGGAAUCACUGGGCGUAAAGCGCACGUAGGCGGAUUGGUCAGUUAGGGGUGAAAUCCCAGAGCUCAACUCUGGAACUGCCUUUAAUACUGCCAGUCUUGAGUCCGAGAGAGGUGAGUGGAACUCCGAGUGUAGAGGUGAAAUUCGUAGAUAUUCGGAAG
rnacentral:rRNA from 1 species